UCUAUGGUCCUAACAGCUGACUGAAGAUGAUUCAUUUCCAGCAGGUUCACCUGGUGGCAUAAGAUUUCUCCUGAAAGAAAAUGACUCACAGGCACUGCCACAACACCAUUUUUAGUGGGCUUGUGUCAUUCUGGUCUGCUACAGUCUCUGAAGUUUGGGGAUUGAGUUAACAGGUAGCCUUUCAGCUUGAAUACAAUGGCAGUCAAUUGUUAUGAUGAAACCCAAACUGAAAUAGCUGGAAUUACCGGCAGACUGUUCGUGGUGACUCUUAGUUUUCUGAAUAUUAGAUAGCAGCAUCAUGCAGUACACUUGAAGAAAAUAACUUGCUAACUGAUUGUUAUUAUCCUUCAGAAUUGGAUCAAGUGGUUGCGGCAGCUGUCUGUAUACCUGCAAGCUACAUGUGGUAAGACAUUAAUCUGUUUAUAAGCUUAUAAUGAGGAUGGAUAUGUCUUUUUUUAUUU